rnacentral:rRNA from 1 species
AUUGAACGCUGGCGGCAGGCCUAACACAUGCAAGUCGAGCGGAUGAAGGGAGCUUGCUCCUGGAUUCAGCGGCGGACGGGUGAGUAAUGCCUAGGAAUCUGCCUGGUAGUGGGGGAUAACGUCCGGAAACGGGCGCUAAUACCGCAUACGUCCUGAGGGAGAAAGUGGGGGAUCUUCGGACCUCACGCUAUCAGAUAAGCCUAGGUCGGAUUAGCUAGUUGGUGGGGUAAAGGCCUACCAAGGCGACGAUCCGUAACUGGUCUGAGAGGAUGAUCAGUCACACAGGAACUGAGACACGGUCCAGACUCCUACGGGAGGCAGCAGUGGGGAAUAUUGGACAAUGGGCGAAAGCCUGAUCCAGCCAUGCCGCGUGUGUGAAGAAGGUCUUCGGAUUGUAAAGCACUUUAAGUUGGGAGGAAGGGCAGUAAGUUAAUACCUUGCUGUUUUGACGUUACCAACAGAAUAAGCACCGGCUAACUUCGUG